GUAAGGCUCAUAACAGUUCUCAUUACAUUCUCCAAUGUGGUUGAUGCCUUAUGCCAGAGCGUAAUUAAGUAAAAGCAACUGCAUACAGGGUCAGAACAAUGUGGUCCAGAAUCACAGCUUUCUAUUAAUCUGGAUUGUUCCAGGAACAGACGUGCUUCAUGGCUCUGGGGACUGCUUCUCUCAAUCAAGCUUUUGUUGAACACUAAAUGGCAGAGAGUUCAAGCAUGCGUCUGUGGAGAAAUUUGCAGAUCAAAAUUUUCAGUUGAGACGUGUUUCUGGAAGUCUCAUAGUCCAAGCAUGUUUCGAAUAACCAAGAUGAAGUCUCUAAAUGCAGUGAUGCUGACUUUUCUGUUCAAAGAGGAAACCACUGACCAAGGAGGGACUGAGGUGGUUUCCAGUAAGGCGGAUGGAAGGAGGUGUCUCUUCCCAUGGCCAGGCAGUGACACACAGAUCGAGGCUCAGAGCAAAACCAUCCUGAAGGUCCGCUGGCUGUGA
rnacentral:lncRNA from 1 species